GAAAUGUGAUAAGUAAUGUGAAUUGCAGAAUUCAGUGAAUCAUCGAAUCUUUGAACGCACACUGCGCCCGCCAGUAUUCUGGCGGGCAUGCCUGUCCGAGCGUCAUUUCAACCAUCAAGCCCCCGGGCUUGUGUUGGGGACCUGCGGCUGCCCGCAGGCCCUGAAAACCAGUGGCGGGCUCGCUGUCACACCGAGCGUAGUAGCAAUCACCUCGCUCAGGGCGUGCUGCGGGUUCCGGCCGUUAAACAGCCUUACAAAACCCAAGGUUGACCUCGGAUCAGGUAGGAAGACCCGCUGAACUUAAGC
rnacentral:misc_RNA from 1 species